rnacentral:rRNA from 1 species
GACGAACGCUGGCGGCGUGCUUAACACAUGCAAGUCGAACGGAAAGGCCCUGCUUUUGUGGGGUGCUCGAGUGGCGAACGGGUGAGUAACACGUGAGUAACCUGCCCUUGACUUUGGGAUAACUUCAGGAAACUGGGGCUAAUACCGGAUAGGAGCUCCUGCUGCAUGGUGGGGGUUGGAAAGUUUCGGCGGUUGGGGAUGGACUCGCGGCUUAUCAGCUUGCUGGUGGGGUAGUGGCUUACCAAGGCUUUGACGGGUAGCCGGCCUGAGAGGGUGACCGGCCACAUUGGGACUGAGAUACGGCCCAGACUCCUACGGGAGGCAGCAGUGGGGAAUAUUGCACAAUGGGCGGAAGCCUGAUGUAGCAACGCCGCGUGCGGGAUGACGGCCUUCGGGUUGUAAACCGCUUUCGCCUGUGACGAAGCGUGAGUGACGGUAAUGGGUAAAGAAGCACCGGCUAACUACGUG